rnacentral:rRNA from 1 species
GACGAACGCUGGCGGCGUGCCUAAUACAUGCAAGUAGAACGCUGAAGAGAGGAGCUUGCUCUUCUUGGAAGAGUUGCGAACGGGUGAGUAACGCGUAGGUAACCUGCCUUGUAGCGGGGGAUAACUAUUGGAAGCGAUAGCUAAUACCGCAUAACAAUGGGUGACCCAUGUCAUUCAUUUGAAAGGGGCAACUGCUCCACUACAAGAUGGACCUGCGUUGUAUUAGCUAGUAGGUGAGGUAACGGCUCACCUAGGCGACGAUACAUAGCCGACCUGAGAGGGUGAUCGGCCACACUGGGACUGAGACACGGCCCAGACUCCUACGGGAGGCAGCAGUAGGGAAUCUUCGGCAAUGGGGGCAACCCUGACCGAGCAACGCCGCGUGAGUGAAGAAGGUUUUCGGAUCGUAAAGCUCUGUUGUAAGUCAAGAACGAGUGUGAGAGUGGAAAGUUCACACUGUGACGGUAGCUACCA